CAAACUCCACCGGCGCCAAAGUAACUCCGCCCAGAAAAAGAAGCCACUUCCUAGACCUCCCGGAAGUCUUGUUCGCUCUCCUAGCGCUUAGCAUACCGGGAAGGGAACGGCGACCGGGAAGGAACAAGUGGAUACCAAGAGUGCUGUGCUCAUACUGGACUUUAGGAGCUCAUGUAAUAUUUUAUGCUGAGCUUCCUCCCCCCACAUUACCAUUAGCUUGAAUCUCAGCUGUGCACUGAACUGGAGGCUGCCCAAAGAUGGUGAAUUUCACUUCUAGUGUCCCUUAAAGCAGAUUCUCUCUGCUUCCUGAUCACCAUGUGAGCUGCUUUCCACCGCCAUGCUCUUCUGCCAUGAUGUUCUGUCUCAUCUUGAGCCCGAAGAUAUGGAGCCUGCUGUCUGUAGAUUGAGACCUCUGAGACUGUAAGCCCCCAAAUAAACUUUUCCUUCUCUACAA